GUUUGUGUGCAUGUGUGUGUGUUUGUGUGUGUUUGUGUGUGAGUGUCUGUAUGUCACUGUGUGUUUACAUGUACGCAUAGAGAGACGUGUGCGAGAAAAGCGCCCUGGCACGAAUCAUUACAUUUCAUUAGCUCCUAGGAAGUAUAUUGACUGGCUAGAUAAGUCUCCAUGCUAAUACGCUCACAACAAGACACAUGUCUGCUAAUGGUUUGUCUCCGUUUUCAAUUCACUUACAUGACACCGACAGAGAUGAAGCGAAAUGACCUCAAUGGACGUAAAUGUUGUUGUUGUUGUCAUCGUCGUCGUGGUUCUUGUUAUCGUCAUCAUCAUCAUCACCACCACCGUUGUUGUUGUUGUUGUUGUUGCUGUCUGUUCUUGUUUUUGCUGUUCUUGUUAUUGCUACUUCUGCUGUUGUUACAUUCAUCUUUUCCUGCCGCGGAAAGACGCACUUUUAAACAGUUCCGUUAUGGAUUACCUUAAGUGAAUAUUUUUGAGUAUGCGAUAUAAAUAGGCAAUAUGGAACGAAAACUACGGAACGCAUCGUGAAACAUGUCAGCAGCAAGCUACCCAUAAGCUUUGUUCAUUAAUAAAUUAUUUACCUAAAACACAGCCGAGGCGUGAGCAUUUUCUGGCUCGUUCCUACAUCAUCAUCGUCAUUGUUCGACCGUGGUCGAGACAAUGGAAUUUACCAUGCUACGCCAGACUUCACGGUCCAUCAUAGCAUUACGGAGGUCCUGUUACUGGAUGCCUGUAUCCCUGGAGGUUACAUCAGGGUAGGAGAGGGUGCGCCCUCUGGUAUCGCGAGCAGAUGGCAAUUUCUAAUCUUCUCCUCUGGAUGCCAUCUACUCGUUCCUACACUGGAAGUGUUCGCGGGCUAUUUCAGAGCAACAAGCUACCAGUACCUAUACACAUACUUUUCAGAAAUGAGCACAAAGCAAGCAUAUUCGUGCAGGUUUAAGACACACCUACACUAGUGGCAUAAAAUUUGGUAGAAGGAAACACGAAAAUCAGUUUCUUAAAUGUUGGUAACAAUGUUGCCUUCGUGACACAGUAUAAGCAGGCAGUCAGGGUUGAAGUUACAAAGAUUGAUAUUCGGUCAGCUGCGGUUUCAGUCAACAUACAAUUUCUUAUAACCACCGAAUACUACAAGGCCAUUCCUGAACUGUUACCAGUUGUAAGUGAUGAAGGAACGGUGAUGAAGCUUGUAUUUCAGGGAAGUAAGUCGACAUGUGUGGUAGCAAAAAGUUCUUUCAUGUACUAUGUGACUUUAGAAACAGUACGUGCAUAAAGAAGGAAAGUAGCUGCUCAGGAAAUGGCAAGUCUCAUAAGUUGCUACAAUUCUCAGAGCACCACCGAUUGAAGAACAGAAAAAUCAGAGGAGAUUACCUCUCCUACGAUAUUGGGAACUGACUUGGCCUCUCCGAAGGAUACCACAUCUUAACCACAGUGAUAAAUGAUGAAGAGUCGCUAAUAGCAGCACUGGCAAUAAUCCUAACCAAUUCCAGCUCCAUGAAAUUUGUUAAAAUCUGUCUUGUCCCUAUUCUCAGAAACCGACAAGCGUAGCUUACCUUCGGCCAAUAGUAAUGCUUCAUCAUAUUGUGACGUGAUGCAAGCCACAGAGGAAUGGAAAAUUACCGGGAAAAUUCCUGCUCUAAAGGCGAGUAAAAUGCAACAAAAAGACGUCGACUCCAAAAGGUUCCAUUUCGCAUCUGUUAGAUAUGCACACCAAUCCUUCAUUGUCCAAAAAUUGAAUUGAAUGACGUAAGAGAGAAUGAUAUACUGGCUGAUGAGAAAUAAAUAAAGACGGAUUACAGGAGAUGCUCACGCGACAGACCCCACUCCCUCAAAAAUGUCUCCAGAAUGUUAUCACAUGUUUAAGAAGGAAAAAGCCUCAGAGUGCAGCAGGUUCUUUUUCAUUUUAUUUCGUCUAAACCCAAAAAUGUUGAGAAUGCACUUUUGGGUGCUUUCUUCAUUAGUACAUGUAGUGGCAUGAACAGAAGAGUGUAAUAUCUUAACCUGACCUAACCCGUGCAUUUCCAAACGUGUGGGCGCAUAAAUGUUAUCUUAUGCACUUUUUUAAAUAAUUUAUUAUUUUUUUUAUAGUUAUUCAGUUGUCACAUGUCCCAAUUUUUAUACAUAUUUUCUAAGUUUUUAUUCUUCGUAUAGGUUCCUUACUCCAUUCUUUCCAAGUUUAUGUAACUUGUUUUAAUUUCCAUGCAGUUUUGUCACCUGCUUUAGUUGUUAACAUUUCCGGGUUUUCCCGGAAGAGGCCAGGGAACAGAAGAAAGAAGAAAGAAGACAUUCACCCAACACCAGAGCUGAAGUCACCUCCAAAAGGGGAGCCCUGCCACGUCAAAACGGUAGAGGAGUCGGGGCCGAAACCGGAUGUGGUUCCUCCUGAUGAUGUCUUGAGCUAACUGGAUCCUAUAAAGGAGCUGUUGUGGUAGCAGACCACGAAACACGGUUGUAAUUCCUCUGUAGUUGUAAGAUUUAAAAUGAGCGUAAUUGUCCUCAACGGCUAAAGAAAGGGAAUAUUUCCAAAAGAAAUAUUCCAGCGUCGGAAAUUCACCAAUUUAACAAAAAUAACUAUGAUUCACCAAUAUUACGAAGUACAGAAAGUCAACAUUUAUGUGGAAGAUGUACUAACUGCCAUAAAAUUCAGGAUUGAAUGUGACGAUGAAGAAAGUCAAGCUCCAAGAAAAUUCAGAAGACAUGAUUCAAUUUUUCUUGUAAAAAUAAUUCAUUAUUUUACAAUUUUUAAACGAACGCUGAAUUAAAUUUGUAGAAAAGUA